rnacentral:rRNA from 1 species
GAUGAACGCUGGCGGCGUGCCUAAUACAUGCAAGUCGAGCGAACAGACGAGGAGCUUGCUCCUCUGACGUUAGCGGCGGACGGGUGAGUAACACGUGGAUAACCUACCUAUAAGACUGGGAUAACUUCGGGAAACCGGAGCUAAUACCGGAUAAUAUAUUGAACCGCAUGGUUCAAUAGUGAAAGACGGUUUUGCUGUCACUUAUAGAUGGAUCCGCGCCGCAUUAGCUAGUUGGUAAGGUAACGGCUUACCAAGGCAACGAUGCGUAGCCGACCUGAGAGGGUGAUCGGACACACUGGAACUGAGACACGGUCCAGAAUCCUACGGGAGGCAGCAGUAGGGAAUCUUCCGCAAUGGGCGAAAGCCUGACGGAGCAACGCCGCGUGAGUGAUGAAGGUCUUCGGAUCGAAAAACUCUGUUAUUAGGGAAGAACAAAUGUGUAAGUAACUAUGCACGUCUUGACGGUACCUAAUCAGAAAGCCACGGCUAACUACGUG